rnacentral:rRNA from 1 species
CCUACGGGAGGCAGCAGCCGCGGUAAUAUUGGACAAUGGGCGCAAGCCUGAUCCAGCCAUGCCGCGUGAGUGAUGACGGCCUUAGGGUUGUAAAGCUCUUUCGCUCGGGACGAUAAUGACGGUACCGAGAUAAGAAGCCCCGGCUAACUUCGUGCCAGCAGCCGCGGUAAU